rnacentral:rRNA from 1 species
AACGAACGCUGGCGGCAUGCCUAACACAUGCAAGUCGAACGAGACCUUCGGGUCUAGUGGCGCACGGGUGCGUAACGCGUGGGAACCUGCCCUUAGGUUCGGAAUAACUCCUCGAAAGGGGUGCUAAUACCGGAUAAUGUCUUCGGACCAAAGAUUUAUCGCCUUUGGAUGGGCCCGCGUUGGAUUAGCUAGUUGGUAGGGUAAAAGCCCACCAAGGCGACGAUCCAUAGCUGGUCUGAGAGGAUGAUCAGCCACACUGGGACUGAGACACGGCCCAGACUCCUACGGGAAGCAGCAGUGGGGAAUAUUGGGCAAUGGGCGAAAGCCUGAUGCAGCAAUGCCGCGUGAGUGAUGAAGGCCUUAGGAUUGUAAAGCUCUUUUACCCGGGAUGAUAAUGACGGUACCGGGAGAAGAAGCUCCGGCUAACUCCGUG